rnacentral:lncRNA from 1 species
UUAAGCUGGGAAGAAAGAAUCAAAUAAAUGGUCUCAUUCAUAGCAAGAACAAGAGAGUAAGUACAUGAUCACCAACACAAAGAAUGGCACGCCGGCGCACGUACUGGACACCUCCCACACCACCGCGACCCAUACAUACACACACGCACGCGCCCAGACCUCACACCCCAACAAGAACACACGCACACACACCAAGACGACGAGCAAACCAAGCCGGACAGACGGAGAAGGGUCAUCUCAUCUCAUCACACGCCACCGGGACGGAUCUAGCAGAAGAGGUAGCCGAAGGCGGCGGCGGCGAAGGAGGCCGCGGCGAGGGGCACGGCGGCCGCGGCGUCGGAGGCGGGCGCCGGGGCCGGGGCCUCGGCGGCGGCCGCGGAGGCGACGAGCGCGGCGGCCAUGGCGGCGACGGCGACGAACUUCAUCCUGAGACCGGCCAUUGGCGACUUGACUUGGUUCCUGGUGCUGGGAGAGGAGGCCGGAGGGGGUCUCGCUGCUGCUUAUUCGGCUGUGAGAUCUCUCUAGGGGGGAGCUAGAGAGAUGCUGCACGCGGAUGAGCGAGAGGCUUGAGAGUGGCGGCUUGGGAGGUGGGAGGGAGAGGCGUGCGGGGGUGGCGGGUUAUAUAGCGGCGGAGCGGGGAGGGGAGGGGAGGGGAAGGAUGGAUGGCCAGGUCGGUCGCGUAGGGUUGUGGGAGAAGGGAGAGGAGUACGGCUGGCCGUCUGUUGGGUUGGGCUCCGGGCGUGCCGCGUUUGGUGGCCGGUUGGGCUGGCGUUCGUUACCGUUGCGGCCGGGAUCCUCUCUGACCGCGCCCGUUGGAGCGCGUCUCCGGGUCUCUGUGUGUGUGUGUGUGUGUGUGGUGGUUCGGCAUUCAUCAACGU